UGGAGAGUUUGAUCCUGGCUCAGGACGAACGCUGGCGGCGUGCCUAAUACAUGCAAGUCGAACGCUUCUUUUCCCACCGGAGCUUGCUCCACCGGGAAAAGAGGAGUGGCGAACGGGUGAGUAACACGUGGGUAACCUGCCCAUCAGAAGGGGAUAACACUUGGAAACAGGUGCUAAUACCGUAUAACAAUMGAAACCGCAUGGUUUCRWUUUGAAAGGCGCUUUACGGUGCCGCUGAUGGAUGGACCCGCGGUGCAUUAGCUAGUUGGUGAGGUAACGGCUCACCAAGGCCACGAUGCAUAGCCGACCUGAGAGGGUGAUCGGCCACAUUGGGACUGAGACACGGCCCAAACUCCUACGGGAGGCAGCAGUAGGGAAUCUUCGGCAAUGGACGAAAGUCUGACCGAGCAACGCCGCGUGAGUGAAGAAGGUUUUCGGAUCGUAAAACUCUGUUGUUAGAGAAGAACAAGGGUGAGAGUAACUGUUCACCCCUUGACGGUAUCUAACCAGAAAGCCACGGCUAACUACGUGCCAGCAGCCGCGGUA
rnacentral:rRNA from 1 species